GGCCUCGUAGUUCAGUUGGCUAGAGCGUCGGCUGUACUACAGCCUUCCCCCUGCUUGCGUAGGUUCAAAUCCCACCGAGGCCA
rnacentral:tRNA from 1 species